UGAACCGGCGAGUUACGAUUUGAUGCAAGGUUAAGCAGUAAAUGUGGAGCCGUAGCGAAAGCGAGUCUGAAUAGGGCGUUUAGUAUUUGGUCGUAGACCCGAAACCAGGUGAUCUACCCUUGGUCAGGUUGAAGUUCAGGUAACACUGAAUGGAGGACCGAACCGACUUACGUUGAAAAGUGAGCGGAUGAACUGAGGGUAGCGGAGAAAUUCCAAUCGAACCUGGAGAUAGCUGGUUCUCUCCGAAAUAGCUUUAGGGCUAGCCUCAAGUGAUGAUUAUUGGAGGUAGAGCACUGUUUGGACGAGGGGCCCCUCUCGGGUUACCGAAUUCAGACAAACUCCGAAUGCCAAUUAAUUUAACUUGGGAGUCAGAACAUGGGUGAUAAGGUCCGUGUUCGAAAGGGAAACAGCCCAGACCACCAGCUAAGGUCCCAAAAUAUAUGUUAAGUGGAAAAGGAUGUGGCGUUGCCCAGACAACUAGGAUGUUGGCUUAGAAGCAGCCAUCAUUUAAAGAGUGCGUAAUAGCUCACUAGUCGAGUGACACUGCGCCGAAAAUGUACCGGGGCUAAACAUAUUA
rnacentral:rRNA from 1 species